UCCAAAAUCAAAGGCCUCGUUUCCUACUACUCGUGAUCAGACAGCAUUUAUUUGAUUGCAGGAAUGACACGGGCAAUUUAAAAUUAAAGGAGAAGUCAACUCUUACCAGGGCAGAGCAAUUGCGUAUGAGUGGAUGGGAGUCUGACAUUAUGUUCCUAACCCCGCCUCAAGGAGAGAAUCCUGGCUCUCACAGGAGAAGAGAGAGACUGCUUUUGUGGGAAUCCUGAAACAUUAAUUUCCUGCAAACUGUCCAGCAUGUUGACCACCAUGCUGCACAGAAAUGUUGCCCCACCCAGAACCUCUGAGGAUAACACUAACGAAGUCUCCAAGGAAGCAACUUCAAGGCUGCGUUUUGCAGUAACCCACAUUCACUCAGACACGGACAUCUCAGUGGGAACAUCGAGAAAGUUGGGAGUGCAAGCUGUGCCUUCAGCAUGAUCUCCAAGGAACAGUUAGAAAAGCUGGAAAACUGCCUUCCCACAUCGCCCUGGCAAGUUCUUGCCUCUGGAAUUCAUCACAAGGAUCUUUCUUGCAACAAGGAUUUCUUUUGAUGGAGAGCCUUCAUUUACACAGUGUGGAUCACCAUCAUAUUCUUAUUAUAAUUGGCUAGAAAACACAAAAGCUGGGUACUAAUGCCAAUGCUAAGUUCAGGAGCAAUGGCAAAGUCUACUGCAAAAGUUAAUGGUUCCUUAAUCUGUUCCUGACUUUCCCACUUGUAUGCUGGUUUGUUCUAUUAAGAUUUCAUUCACUGGAUAAAAAUCAAUGUAUCAAAAUAUCUCUCAGGCUCAUAUCAUUAAGGAAUAUGAUUA